ensembl:lncRNA
UUCAAAAUCAGUGUUCAGUAUCAGAGAAAUAUGUAUCUGCUCAUCAGCGUUCUCUCCUGAAGGCAUCACGGCUAAGACCACAGAAAUAUUUGGACGGCCUGUGCCCUAUCAAAUAUCCUGACCUGAGUCACAUCACUCUUUUCCAGGACAGUUAACAUGGCAGGCAGUUCAGAGUAAUGUGCUCUGUCUGAUAUCCCAGAAGUUGAUCUCCAGUGUGUUGUAUCAGGAAGCUCGUGUGUCCAGACAUGGCAGAAUGGAAUAACAGUGAGCAAGACCUUAAAGAAAUUUGCCUGCUUGACAGUGACAAAUUAAGACUAGGGAAAUGAUGUUAAACAAAAAGCAAAUUCAAGCAAUUUUUAAAAUCUGAAUUCAGAAUGGAUUGUAAAGCAGUGGAGACAACUUGCAACAUCAGCAACACAUUUGGCUCAGGAACUGCUAACAGACAUACAGUGCAGUGGUGAUUCAAGAAGUUACAAAGGAGAUGAGAGUCUUGAAGAUGAGGAGCAUAGUGGCCAGUCAUCCGAAAUUGACGACAACUGAGAACCGUCAUUGAAGCUGAUCCUUUUAAAACUACAUGAGAAGUUGCCAAACAACUCACUGUCAACCAUUCUGAAGUCAUUCAGCAUUUGAAGCAAACUGGAAAGAUGAAAAAGCUUGAUAAGUGGAUGCCUCAUGAGCUGACUGAAAAAAAAAAUCAUUUUGAAGUGUCAUGUUCUCUUAUUCAACACAACAACAAUGAACCAUUUCUCCAUCAGAUUGUGACAUGUGACAAAAAGUGAAUUAUGUAUGACAACCAGCCAGUUCAGUGAUUGGACCAAGAAGAAGCUCCAAAGUACUUCCCAAAGCCAAACUUGCACCGAAAAAGGUCAUGGUCACUGUUUGGUGGUCUGCUGCAAUCUGAUCCACUACAGCUUUCUGAAUCCUGGUGAAACUAUUACAGUUGAGAAGUAUGCCCAGCAAAUUGAUCAGAUGCACUGAAAGCUGCAGUGCCUAGCUGUUACUGGUUAACAGAAAGAGCCCAGUUCUUCGCAACAAUGCCCAACUGCAUGCUGCACAACUGAUACUUCAAAAUUUGAACAAAUUGGGCUAUGAAGUCUUGCUUUCUUUGCCAUAUUCACCUGUUCUGUCAGCAACCGACUACCACUUCUAGAAGCAUCUUGAUAACUUUUUGCAGGGAAAAUACUUCCACAACUAGCAGGAGGCAGAAAAUUCUUUCCAAGAGCUCAUUGAAUCCCAAAGCAUGGAUUUUGACCCUACAAGAAUAAACCAGCUUAUUUUUCAUUUGGCAAAAAUAUGUUGACUGUAAUGGUUCCUAUUUUGAUUAAUAAAGUUGUGUUUGAG